UACAGAGGUCUCAAGCGUUGUUCGGAUUCAUUGGGCGUAAAGGGUGCGUAGGCGGCGCGGUAAGUCGGGUGUGAAAUCUCGGAGCUUAACUCCGAAACUGCAUUCGAUACUGCCGUGCUUGAGGACUGGAGAGGAGACUGGAAUUUACGGUGUAGCGGUGAAAUGCGUAGAUAUCGUAAGGAAGACCAGUGGCGAAGGCGGGUCUCUGGGCCAUUACUGACGCUGAGGAGCGAAAGCGUGGGUAGCGAACAGG
rnacentral:rRNA from 1 species